CAUGCAAGUCGAGGGGUAACAUAGUUUGCUUGCAAACUGAUGACGACCGGCGCACGGGUGCGGAACGCGUAUGGAACCUGCCCUUGUCAGGGGAAUAGCCCAGGGAAACUUGGAUUAAUGCCCCAUGGUACCACGACAUCGCAUGAUGAUGUGGUUAAAGAUUUAUCGGACAAGGAUGGCCAUGCGUACCAUUAGUUAGUUGGUGGGGUAACGGCCCACCAAGGCAGCGAUGGUUAGGGGCCCUGAGAGGGGGAUCCCCCACACUGGUACUGAGACACGGACCAGACUCCUACGGGAGGCAGCAGUGAGGAAUAUUGGACAAUGGGCGGGAGCCUGAUCCAGCCAUGCCGCGUGCAGGAUGACGGCCCUAUGGGUUGUAAACUGCUUUUAUACGGGAAGAAACGCACCUACGUGUAGGUGUCUGACGGUACCGUAAGAAUAAGGACCGGCUAACUCCGUGCCAGCAGCCGCGGUAAUACGGAGGGUCCGAGCGUUAUCCGGAAUCAUUGGGUUUAAAGGGUCCGUAGGCGGGCCUGUAAGUCAGGGGUGAAAGUUUGUGGCUCAACCAUAAAAUUGCCUUUGAUACUGCAGGUCUUGAGUCAUGGUGGGGUCGCCGGAACAUGUGGUGUAGCGGUGAAAUGCAUAGAUAUCACAUAGAACACCGAUCGCGAAGGCAGGUGACCAACCAUGUACUGACGCUGAUGGACGAAAGCGUGGGUAGCGAACGGGAUUAGAUACCCCGGUAGUCCACGCCGUAAACGAUGGAUACUAGCUGUGGGGACUUCGGUCUCCGUGGCCAAGCGAAAGUGAUAAGUAUCCCACCUGGGGAGUACGUUCGCAAGAAUGAAACUCAAAGGAAUUGACGGGGGCCCGCACAAGCGGUGGAGCAUGUGGUUUAAUUCGAUGAUACGCGAGGAACCUUACCAGGGCUUAAAUGCAGGCUGCAUGGGGUGGAGACACCCCUUUCUUCGGACUGCCUGCAAGGUGCUGCAUGGUUGUCGUCAGCUCGUGCCGUGAGGUGUCAGGUUAAGUCCUAUAACGAGCGCAACCCCUACCGUUAGUUGCCAGCAUGUAAAGAUGGGGACUCUAG
rnacentral:rRNA from 1 species